AGGAAGUGAGGUUUUUGAUGGAGCAGAGAUAUGGAGCCUCUGUAUUGCGUGAUGAUGUGCGUGAGGAUGGUGAAUUCGUAGCAUGAGUGUGGUCUCUGAGUUUGUUGGAAUGGUUCCGGGUUAGGGAAGAGAUGAGAGGAGUGGUGAGGGAGGAAUGUGGAUUGUGAAUGAAUGGUCGCCUGGUUCCUGUGUGAGGGAGGAUGCCAUUCUGAGUAGUGUGAGGGCUGAACGAUCAUGAUGAACUCAAUCAAGGUUACUGAUGAUGAUGAAUCAAGAUGAUGAUGCUCUGAUCUCUCCUUUGCUUAAUUCUGUUGUAACCGUUUUCAUCCCCAACUUUUUCAACUUUUUUCCUUUUUUUCAUUUUAUUUCUUAUUUUUUCUUUUCUUUUUUUCUUCUUUUUUUUUUAUCUAUUUUUCUCUCUUUUUUUCUUCUUUUUUUUUGUUUUCUUU
rnacentral:lncRNA from 1 species